rnacentral:sRNA from 1 species
GCAAUGCCCUGGAUGCAUUUCCUCGCUAAGCUUAUUUGCGGUCUGACAGCAAAGUGGUGGGGUUUCUUUUAUACAUUUUGUAAAGAUGCAAUUGUUGAGAACCAUCAGGUAGCAUUCCCCAUUUGAUUCAGUUUUAUUAAAUUUGACGGUUGAAAAGCUUGGGGCAACCCGGAUCGUUCGCUGGUGUGGCAACACCUGACUCUGACACGCCGGUCUGGCAUCUUCAUCUUCAAUUAUACGCAACCUCUUAUUCACCGAGCUGCCUUCUUCUGGACAAGCUGGCAAGGAUUGUUGCUAUCGACUCAAUGUCGAGUCAUUCAAUCGUCUACGAUUAUUUUUGGUUCCUGGUUCCACAAAUUCGGGUCAAAUUCAAAAGAGCGUCGAUGCGAAGGUUGAGUUGAUAAGCUACAACACGACAUCUCCAAAAAGCCCAAGGCGCCCCAUGACAACAAGGCAUCCCCUUUUUCAUCAAUGAAAAAUAAACUUUGCGAUGACAAACCGGAUUACAAUACGAACGUUUUGGAAAUCAGGACCUGGAAAUCGACCUGGGCCUGGAUCGUUCGUUUAAAUGGUCAUGUGUUGUCGCUGAUGUACCAACUGUAAUUAUUCCUAGCAAAGUUCCAUUUGCUUGUUGACGUCAACAAGCAACAUCUCACCAACGGCACAAUCUGUAAUCUCGCAGGAUUAUGCUUCGCCAUAUAACGACAAAGCGCAUCAAUGCAAGGACCGGCAAACUGAUGACCUCACCCUCGACAACAUGAGCACAUCAGAUUCACCUUUAGUUCGCCACUACAUAACAAAACUGGAGCACCAGUAGCAGAUCGUUCCAGACGCCUGAUGGAAGAGAAACUGUCAGUAGCUAAAGCACAGAUACAUCGUCAAGAUUUGUGGUCCAUGGGCCAGCCCGUUGCACAUGGAAGCAAACACCAGUGGCGUACAGCGACAGAACAGCCUGGAUGGUUACAUUCAUGUCGGGCAUACUGAAUGUUUCGAACCUGAUCUGAUUUAUCCUCUCACGGUUAGCCUUGGGGUUAAGAGGGGCCUCGUUCAGCGAGACGCACGCAUCUCGCUAUUGCUGUGUACCAAGAACGUUGGUGAUGAAUGAGCUGCGUGUGGCCCCCGAGGAUCACCCCGUUUUGCUGGCCGAGCCCCUCUUAGCCCGAAGGCUAACUGUGAGACGAUGACUCAGAUCAGGUUCGUAACAUUCAAUGUACCCGCCAUGAAUGUGACCAUCCAGGCUGUUCUGUCGCUGUACGCCUCUGGUGAAUGUGGGGAAAUCGUUUAACGAUCUAGAACGGUAAUCGCCACCGUCGCUGUCGGCUUAAGCGGCACAGACGAGCUUUAACGGGAAUCCUUCCAUGGAAGUGUCGGUCUUGAGAGACGAAAGAGAACAUUCGAGCAAUUAAAGCUAAAUAUUCGAAGUAGAG